rnacentral:lncRNA from 1 species
GUGACAAGAGCCACCAACCCGACGCUUGCUGCUCUCUGGCCCGUCAGCCUCCGUGGGGCUCUGCCGGGUGCGGUUCCCGGAGGAGUCCACGUCCAGCCCCCAGGGAAGGAGCGAGCCCCGCCGCCCACGCAGGCUGACCCACCUGGGACCCGCUGACCUCGGUGCUGUGGAUGCCCGUGAUGGCGUCGAUCAGGUUGUGCGCCUCAUCGAUGAUGACGACUUGGCCCUGCAGCCGGAUGCCGGCGGCCUGCCGCGUGGCUUCGUGCAGCAACAUCGGUGCAGGGGGAACCCAGGGCCUUACACACGCCAGCAAACAUGCUUCCCUGAGUUGCGCCCCAGCCCCUGAGCUACCAUGUUUUAGCUGCAAAGUAGCACCUUUUCCUGUUGAGGACACAGCAGGUCUGUGCCAGCACCGUCACAUGGUGCAGCAGGUGUCCACGCAGGGACAAUCAUCCCGAAAAGCCACCCCGUGUGCUGAGCUCAGCUCCGGCCCUGGUGAAUUCCCACUGGGCAUCUCUCCCU